UGAGCAACCUGCCCUUGACUCUGGAAUAACAGCUGGAAACAGCUGCUAAUACCGGAUAUGACCUCCGAUGGCAUCAUCUGGAGGUGGAAAGCUCCGGCGGUCAAGGAUGGGCUCGCGGCCUAUCAGCUUGUUGGUGAGGUAACGGCUCACCAAGGCUUCGACGGGUAGCCGGCCUGAGAGGGCGACCGGCCACACUGGGACUGAGAUACGGCCCAGACUCCGUAACGGG
rnacentral:rRNA from 1 species